UUUUUUUUUUUUUUUUUUUUUUUUUAAAAGCACUCAUAAUAUCUUGAAAG
rnacentral:ribozyme from 1 species